rnacentral:rRNA from 1 species
GACGGGUGAGUAACGCGUGGGAACGUACCUUUUGGUUCGGAACAACACAGGGAAACUUGUGCUAAUACCGGAUAAGCCCUUACGGGGAAAGAUUUAUCGCCGAAAGAUCGGCCCGCGUCUGAUUAGCUAGUUGGUGAGGUAAUGGCUCACCAAGGCGACGAUCAGUAGCUGGUCUGAGAGGAUGAUCAGCCACAUUGGGACUGAGACACGGCCCAAACUCCUACGGGAGGCAGCAGUGGGGAAUAUUGGACAAUGGGGGCAACCCUGAUCCAGCCAUGCCGCGUGAGUGAUGAAGGCCCUAGGGUUGUAAAGCUCUUUUGUGCGGGAAGAUAAUGACGGUACCGCAAGAAUAAGCCCCGGCUAACUUCGUGCCAGCAGCCGCGGUAAUACGAAGGGGGCUAGCGUUGCUCGGAAUCACUGGGCGUAAAGGGUGCGUAGGCGGGUCUUUAAGUCAGGGGUGAAAUCCUGGAGCUCAACUCCAGAACUGCCUUUGAUACUGAGGAUCUUGAGUUCGGGAGAGGUGAGUGGAACUGCGAGUGUAGAGGUGAAAUUCGUAGAUAUUCGCAAGAACACCAGUGGCGAAGGCGGCUCACUGGCCCGAUACUGACGCUGAGGCACGAAAGCGUGGGGAGCAAACAGGAUUAGAUACCCUGGUAGUCCACGCCGUAAACGAUGAAUGCCAGCCGUUAGUGGGUUUACUCACUAGUGGCGCAGCUAACGCUUUAAGCAUUCCGCCUGGGGAGUACGGUCGCAAGAUUAAAACUCAAAGGAUUUGACGGGGGCCCGCACAAGCGGUGGAGCAUGUGGUUUAAUUCGACGCAACGCGCAGAACCUUACCAGCCCUUGACAUGUCCAGGACCGGUCGCAGAGAUGUGACCCUCUCUUC